rnacentral:misc_RNA from 1 species
CAAUCAGAGAGACAAACUUAAAUUCACAUCAGGUUGAGGCUUGAAGACUACCUGGUACACUUGGAUUAACAUUGGUCAGAUGUUUUAAUCCUCUUUUGGCAUGAGUUCAAUCUGAGGACCCUCGUUCUACAAGAACUAGUGAAAAUGUAUCAUGCAUGGAAACCUUCUCAUUGUAUAUAGGAAGUAAGAUUGCGUUGAAUAAGACACUACAAGUCUAUAAGAGCAUCAUGGUAACAAGGGAGGCAGCAAACAGCACAAAAAAUACCAGAUCUUCACUAUAAAGGCCACUUUGAGCAGAUGCAGCUGCCGGAAGUGCUGGAAUUUUCACAGUUUUAUU